UGGAAUUUUUGGGCAAACUGGGCUCAGACAAACAAAAUAAUCUCUUGAAUGAUGGGCUCAACCUGAACACAUCAGAUAAAAAAAGGGCAAGAAACCCUAAAAUCUUGAUUUUUAGGUUGACAAAAUUUCAUACUAACAUUUUUUCUUAUUUCCUGAAAAUAUCAAAAUUCAAAACAAUAAAUAUGAAACAACCAGGUGUUCAACGCGUUUCUCACUUUCAUCCUCUUGAACCAGAAUAGCAACCACAACAAUGAGCAAACCCUAGUCUUCUAAGAUCCAACCUCUUUACCCUCGAUCCGCCGCGCAACCACCUCUUUCCUGCCGCACGUCGCCCUCACCGUCGCUGGAGUCCUUUGCACGCUGUCGUCGCUACAAGUCCUCCGCACGCCGUCGUCGCUGGAGCAGAUGGUUGUGCGUUGAAGGUGUUGGAAGCUCACUAGCUUUAUUCCUUCGAUUUGGAUCUGAAUGAAGGGCACUGGACCUGAUACGUGGCAAAUACUUUUUGAUGCUGAUGGAUUCUGCCUUAGAGGGUCACUUUUCAAAAGAUGAUGGAACUGAGUUGGUUCGUAACUUCUCUAUCAGUCUUACAUUCUAUGCUCCAGAACAAUUUUUGCCCCAUCACUUUUUCCAUAAUGUUGAAGUUAAAAGUCUCUUCCUAAAGCAAUUUUAUUACUAGAUCAAAAAUAAAGGAACUUUUAAAGCAUAGAGAUCAUGUCUAUGUGAUAGGCCUUUCACAUGACAAAGAAGAUGUGGUAGGGGAAGUUGAAACAUCAGAUAGUAUACCAUGUUUAUUCUUAUCAUUAACAUUAGAUGAUUCAGUGAAUAAGAUACAUUAGUCGACUCUUUCUUCAACAACCAAACAUGACAUUGGUCCAAUAGUAACACCAUUGUUAUCCUUUAUUCUGACCAAA